rnacentral:rRNA from 1 species
AUUGAACGCUGGCGGCAGGCAUAACACAUGCAAGUCGAACGGAGCGGCUGACGGGGGCGUGAUGCCUAGGCAUCUGCCUGGUAGUUGUGGAUAACGGCCGACAACGGGAGCUAAUACCGCAUACUAGCAGAUGGUCCUCGGUCGGAUUAGCUAGUUGGUGGGGUAAAGGCCUACAAAGGCGAGGAUCCGUAACUGGUCUGAGAGGUUGAUCAGCCACACGGGAACUGAGACACGGCCCAGACUCCUACGGGAGGCAGCAGUAGGGAAUAUUGGACAAUGGACGAAAGCCUGAUCCAGCAACGCCGCGUGGGUGAAGAAGGUUUUCGGAUUGUAAAGCACUGUUAGUAGGGAGGCGGUACCUAAAGAAUAAGCCACGGCUAACUUCGUGCCAGCAGCCGCGGUAAUUC